rnacentral:lncRNA from 1 species
GAGAAGUCUGCUACCAGGGCAUAACCUGCAAUCCACAAAAAUGAACUCACUCUUGUUCCGCCUGGUCGGAGGAUCUUUCAAGAGGGCAGAGUGAGUAACAGAUGUAGCACGGCUGGCACAUGCAAUAAAAGGGCUGCCCUUCUUCGGAUUUUGAAAAGUGAAGAAGUGGAAGAACAGCCGAGCAGUGGGGACUAUGCCAGCAUCCCUAAGGAUAUUUAUGAAUCCCCUAACAUAAAAGAAGAAG